AUUGAACGCUGGCGGCAGGCCUAACACAUGCAAGUCGAACGGUAGUACAGAGAGCUUGCUCUCGGGUGACGAGUGGCGGACGGGUGAGUAACGUCUGGGAAACUGCCCGAUGGAGGGGGAUAACUACUGGAAACGGUAGCUAAUACCGCAUAACGUCGCAAGACCAAAGUGGGCGACCUUCGGGCCUCACACCAUCGGAUGUGCCCAGAUGGGAUUAGCUAGUAGGUGGGGUAAUGGCUCACCUAGGCGACGAUCCCUAGCUGGUCGGAGAGGAUGACCAGCCACACUGGAACUGAGACACGGUCCAGACUCCUACGGGAGGCAGCAGUGGGGAAUAUUGCACAGUGGGCGCAAGCCUGAUGCAGCCAUGCCGCGUGUAUGAAGAAGGCCUUCGGGUUGUAAAGUACUUUCAGCGGGGAGGAAGGCGGUGAAGUUAAUAGCUUCACCGAUUGACGUUACCCGCAGAAGAAGCACCGGCUAACUCCGUGCCAGCCGCCGCCGUAA
rnacentral:rRNA from 1 species